rnacentral:rRNA from 1 species
ACCCGCUGAACUUAAGCAUAUCAAUAAGCGGAGGAAAAGAAACCAACAGGGAUUGCCCUAGUAACGGCGAGUGAAGCGGCAAUAGCUCAAAUUUGAAAGCUGGCCUUCUGGUCCGCAUUGUAAUUUGUAGAGGAUGCUUUUAGGCAGCCGCCGGUCUAAGUUCCUUGGAACAGGACGUCAUAGAGGGUGAGAAUCCCGUAUGUGACCGGCUCUGGCACCUUCUGUAAAGCUCCUUCGACGAGUCGAGUUGUUUGGGAAUGCAGCUCUAAAUGGGAGGUAAAUUUCUUCUAAAGCUAAAUAUUGGCGAGAGACCGAUAGCGCACAAGUAGAGUGAUCGAAAGAUGAAAAGCACUUUGGAAAGAGAGUUAAAAAGCACGUGAAAUUGUUGAAAGGGAAGCGCUUGCAAUCAGACUUGGACUUGACUGUUCAACCGGUCUUCUGACCGGCCCACUCAGUCUCGUCCAGGCCAGCAUCAGUUUCGGCGGCCGGAUAAAGGCCUUGGGAACGUGGCCGCCUCUUCGGAGGCGGUGUUAUAGCCCAGGGUGUAAUACGGCCAGCCGGGACUGAGGUCCGCGCUUCGGCUAGGAUGCUGGCGUAAUGGUUGUAAGCGGCCCGUCUUGAAACACGG